CGGGCUGACAGGAGACAGCCACCGCCCAGGCUGAAUAAGGCCAGACAGGUUCUCAGCCACAGGUGUAAAACAUGGUAUUUUGACAUGUGUAAAUGAAUACUACAAUGAAGAAAAGCUGCCUAUCCUUCUAACAGGAGUUGAUUUUCAUCCUUCAGCCUGUCUCACAGAGUAAGAAGUUUACAGGAGCUCCAACCUGACCAACUGCCAUGUCCAUUUCAAAGACAAGAGUAAGGAAAGAAGCCAAGGCAAAUGAACUUACACAGCCAUUGUAGCUUCAUCUAAGCUGUCUUCCCAAAGUCAAGACAAUAUCUCUUAUUCCUAAUUGGCCUGAAUUUCUCUAGUCAUAUUUUGCUAAGAGACAGAUCAGAAAUGACAACCAUUUGUUGUGGUAUUGCUAACCUGAAUAAAACUUAGUCUUUGUGCUUAACUGCAAGGGAAGAAAGAAAAUUGAGAGGGACAGCCAUUAUUUUUUCUCUAUUCUAAAUUCAAAGUCAAAAAGAAAAAUUAUGAGCUAUUAUCAGGUGUAUUUUUUUACUUCAUAAAUCAUCACUUUUCUCUAGGUGUUUGUUCAUUCCUAGGUGGAAAAAAGAAGUAUUGGUUGAUUGGACAAAGACUUCUCUCUUGAUUAAAUGAAGGUGUGUAAAGGAGAGGGAGAAAAAUUUCUGGUUAAGGAGAAAUGUGUUUCAAAGAAAAGAAAAGGAUGAGAUCCCAGCUGUUGACUCUGUGUUAGUUCACGUGCCACUGAAGUUUUGUUCAUAAAGUCUUUUCCUACACCAAUACCACAGCGAUAUAUGCACAUCCAUGUUUAUAGUGGCACAGUUUGUAAUAGCUAAAUCUUGUAAACAGCCCAAAUGCCCAUCACCUGGUGAGUGGAUAAAGAUGUGGGGGGGGGUAUAA